AUUCCAGCUCCAAUAGCGUAUAUUAAAGUUGUUGCGGUUAAAAAGCUCGUAGUUGGAUUUCUGCUGAGGACGACCGGUCCGCCCUCUGGGUGAGUAUCUGGCUCGGCCUUGGCAUCUUCUUGGGGAACGUAACUGCACUUGACUGUGUGGUGCGGUAUCCAGGACUUUUACUUUGAGGAAAUUAGAGUGUUUCAAGCAGGCGCACGCCUUGAAUACAUUAGCAUGGAAUAAUAAGAUAGGACCUUGGUUCUAUUUUGUUGGUUUCUAGAGCUGAGGUAAUGAUUAAUAGGGAUAGUUGGGGGCAUUUGUAUUCAAACGACAGAGGUGAAAUUCUUGGACCGUUUGAAGACAAACUACUGCGAAAGCAUUUACCAAGAAUGUUUUCAUCA
rnacentral:rRNA from 1 species